rnacentral:rRNA from 1 species
GAUGAACGCUGGCGGCGUGCCUAAUACAUGCAAGUCGAGCGAACGGACGAGAUGCUUGCUUCUCUGAUGUUAGCGGCGGACGGGUGAGUAACACGUGGAUAACCUACCUAUAAGACUGGGAUAACUUCGGGAAACCGGAGCUAAUACCGGAUGAUAUUUUGAACCGCAUGGUUCAAAAGUGAAAGACGGUCUUGCUGCCACUUAUAGAUGGAUCCGCGCUGCAUUAGCUAGUUGGUAAGGUAACGGCUUACCAAGGCAUCGAUGCAUAGCCGACCUGAGAGGGUGAUCGGCCACACUGGAACUGAGAAACGGUCCAGACUCCUACGGGAGGCAGCGGUAGGGAAUCUUCCGCAAUGGGCGAAAGCCUGACGGAGCAACGCCGCGUGAGGGAUGAAGGUCUUCGGAUCGUAAAACUCUGUUAUAAGGGAAGAACAUAUGUGUAGGUAACUGUGCACAUCGUGACGGUACCUAAUCAGAAAGCCACGGCUAACUACGUG